ensembl:lncRNA
ACCUUUGCACUCGCCAAAGGAGUCAGUUAUGCCCAUGUUACGUAGUACUGAGAGGCGACUCUUAAAGGACCCUAAACUAGCAGAUGCGUACAAGAUGGAAAUGCAGAAGCUCAUAGAAACAGGUGCUGUGAGGGAAGUCACUGAGGAGACCUCUACCAAAGAGGGAUGGUACAUCUCACAUCAUCUCAUCAGCCACAACGGAAAGAACCGCCUGGUCUUUAACUGCUCUCACCAGUACCUCGGGCAGACCCUGAACCAGUACCUGCUACCUGGCCCUACCCUUGGUGCCCCCUUGCUGGGAGUCUUAUUGAGAUUUCGUGAACAUCCCAUAGCUGUUAGUGGAGACAUCAAGGGGAUGUUUCAUCAAGUCCGCCUCAUCCCUGAAGAUCGCCGCCUUCUAAGGUUCCUGUGGCGGGACCUGAAGGUGGAAGAAACCCCAAGAACAUUUGAGUGGCAAGUUUUGCCUUUCGGCACAACCUGUAGCCCGUGCUGUGCGACAUACGCCCUGCAGCGCCAUGUUGUUGACCACUGCCAGCCGGACGAUGACCUGAGAUUCUCGGUUGAGAACUGCUUUUACGUAGAUAACUGCCUGCAGAGCGUGGGUACGCCGGGUGAAGCUAAACUGCUGGUGGAUCGCCUCAGGGAUCUUCUGAUUUCUGCAGGUUUUGAGUUGCGUCAAUGGGCUUGCAACAAUCCAGGCGUCCUGAGUCAUUUGCCUCAAGAGGCCAGAUCUGAAAGCCUGGACCUGUGGCUGGCACAGGAUAAGUCCAAUCCUCUGGAGUCAACACUCGGUCUCAGCUGGAAUUGGGCAACCGACUCCUUGGGCUACAAACAUAGGCCUGUGUCUUACGAGGUACCAACUCUGAGGAACAUUUACAGAGUUCUAGCUACUCAAUAUGAUCCCUUGGGUUACAUGUUACCUUUCUCCACUCGAGCGAAGCUCAUCAUCAGGCAGCUGUGGGAUAAGAAGCGAGGUUGGGAUGACUCUAACUUACCCGCCGAACUCCUGCAAGCCUGGUCCACCUGGGAGGCUGAACUGGAGUCCUUACCUCUCCUCACAUUUCCACGUGCAUAUGUUCCGGCGGACGCCAACCUUGAGGGUGCUACCCGUGAGGUGCACAUCUUCGCAGAUGCGUCUGAGCAGGCUUAUGGAGCUGUAGCCUACAUGAGAACCGAGGACAGGGAAGGCCAGAUCCACCUGUCUUUCAUCCUUGCUCGUUCACGAGUAGCUC